rnacentral:rRNA from 1 species
UACGUAGGAUGCAAGCGUUGUCCGGAAUUAUUGGGCGUAAAGGGCGCGUAGGCGGUUUGGUAAGUCGGGUGUGAAAUCUCCACGCUCAACGUGGAGGGGCCACUCGAUACUGCCAUGACUCGAGUCCGGUAGAGGAGUGUGGAAUUCCCGGUGUAGCGGUGAAAUGCGCAGAUAUCGGGAGGAACACCCGUAGCGAAGGCGGCACUCUGGGCCGGAACUGACGCUGAGGAGCGAAAGCGUGGGGAGCAAACAGG